GGGGCUGUAGCUCAGUGGAAGAAUGCCCACUUCGCAUGUGUGAGGCACUGGGUUCGAUCCUCAGCACCACA
rnacentral:tRNA from 1 species